rnacentral:rRNA from 1 species
AGAGUUUGAUCNUGGCUCAGGAUGAACGCUGCGGUCUGCUUAACACAUGCAAGUCGAACGGAACUCUUCGGAGUUUAGUGGCGGACGGGUGAGUAACGCGUGAGAAUCUGCCUUCAGGUUGGGGACAACAGUUGGAAACGACUGCUAAUACCCAAUGUGCCGCGAGGUGAAAGCUUUAGUGCCUGAAGAUGAGCUCGCGUCUGAUUAGCUAGUUGGUGAGGUAAUGGCUUACCAAGGCGACGAUCAGUAGCUGGUCUGAGAGGAUGAUCAGCCACACUGGGACUGAGACACGGCCCAGACUCCUACGGGAGGCAGCAGUGGGGAAUUUUCCGCAAUGGGCGCAAGCCUGACGGAGCAAGACCGCGUGAGGGAGGAAGGCUCUUGGGUUGUAAACCUCUUUUCUCAGGGAAGAACAAAAUGACGGUACCUGAGGAAUAAGCAUCGGCUAACUCCGUGCCAGCAGCCGCGGUAAUACGGAGGAUGCAAGCGUUAUCCGGAAUGAUUGGGCGUAAAGCGUCCGCAGGUGGCUAUGUAAGUCUGCUGUUAAAGCGUCUAGCUCAACUAGAUAAGAGCAGUGGAAACUACAAGGCUAGAGUGCGUUCGGGGCAGAGGGAAUUCCUGGUGUAACGGUGAAAUGCGUAGGGAUCAGGAAGAACACCGGUGGCGAAGGCGCUCUGCUAGGCCGCAACUGACACUGAGGGACGAAAGCUAGGGGAGCGAAUGGGAUUAGAUACCCCAGUAGUCCUA